GCCUUCUGAGCUCAGUCGGGAGAUGAUCAAACUUUUAAUCUGAGGGUCGUGGGUUCGAGUCCCAUAGAGGGCG
rfam:Toxocara canis scaffold580, whole genome shotgun sequence.